GCACCUGUAGCCCAGUGGUUAGGGCAUCGCCUUCCCAACGCCUUAGGCGUGCAGGCCCCCCGGGCUCUGCAAUGCUAGGCUGGAAGUUAGGCGGGGACCGGGAGUUCGAACCUCUCCAGGUGCA